ACGGGGGAUAUCCUGCUUAUUGCCAGCGAGUAGGAAGUUUCUGCCGUUAGGGAUUAUGUGCCGUUUCCUCGCCUAGAAGCUUUCGGCUUGUCCCCUCCCACUCUUGAAAAAGCAGCGACUCCACAAACUAGAAAACGGUGCGAACUAAAUACCUGCCUCUCUGACCACCAGCCUCAGCCUUUCAGCCCUGCUCGUCUGCGCUUGUGCGAUUGCUGGGAGGAGGCAGCCGCGUUCCGUCCGCUUUUGUGUGGUUGUACAGAAGUGCUGCGGUUGGGAGGAGGAGGAGGAGGUGGAGGGGAACAGCUGCUCCCCACACAGAAGCCGGUUUCCCAGCCUGAGAGGCAGCCAGUGCCGGGGCUGUUUUCCCGGGGGCCCUCGGGUUGGUUCGCCAGCUCCGCAGCUCUGGCUUGAAGGGAGAUUUUUAUGGCGGCGGCAAAACACAAAAUUGACCAGAACAAGUAGGAUUCUUUCCUUCACAAGGCCAGGCACUCGUGUUCUUUAAAUCAGGAGCAGAUAUGGAUACAUCUCCACUGAAACUCGACCAGGUUUCUCUCAGCCGAUGGGACUCCAGUGGACCCCGCGGCUGCUCUGAGCGUCUUCCUCCAGUCAGAGCUUUUAACCCGUCGGAUGGCGGUUAGCGGUGGCCGCAGGUGCUCCCGUUACCUGCAUGAAAAGCUGCGUGAGCACCCCAGCAAUCCUCAAGCACUCUCUCUCACACACACACAACCCAGACAUCUUUUUGUUCUUCAACAUACAGUGAGCUCUGGCAGAGAUAUAAACCUGUCUGGAUCCUAAUAUGCACUCUCUCUCUCACACAAAAAAACAAUCCCUGUUGUGAAUGACUGUGCAAAAUAACACAGAUUUACAGAUUUAAUACAGACUUCUUUUUAGGUGCAGAUGUUAUUUUCAGCUUGCAGUGUGUAGAAAUGAAGCAGUGUGUGUGUGUAUAAGUUUGCAGUAGCAGUUUCAGCAGGUGAGUCUGACACACAAAUACACUCCCGCAUUAAAGGAAGUGGAGAAGAGACAGAUCCUUUGACCUUCUGCUUUCACACACUGUCCAGUGACACACACACACACACACGAACACUCACACGCUCAGACCACAGCUGCCCAUUAGUCUGGUAAUCUCUUGUAUAUUUGUAUUUUAAAAUGCUGUAAAUGUUUAAGACUGUCUAAUAAAUUGUUUAUA